GGGAGCAUAGCUCAGUUGGUUUAGAGCAUCUGCCUUACAAGCAGAGGGUCGGGGGUUCGACUCCCUCUGCUCCCA
rfam:Bacteroidales bacterium CF, complete genome.